GGUUCGGUGGUGUAGUUGGUUAUCACGCUUGCCUCACAUCUAAAAAAGAUGUCAGGUCGCAAGAGGUCUCCGGUUCGAACCCGGGCCGAAUCA